rnacentral:rRNA from 1 species
CCCUUAGAUGUUCUGGGCUGCACGCGCGCUACACUGAAGCGUUCAACGAGUAUUCACCUUGCCCGGGAGGGUUGGGUAAUCUUUUGAAAACGCUUCGUGAUGGGGAUAGAUUAUUGCAAUUAUUAAUCUUCAACGAGGAAUUCCUAGUAAGCGCGCCCGUCGCUCCUACCGAUUGAGUGAUCCGGUGAAUAAUUCGGACUGCAGCACUGCUUGGUCUCCAGGCUUUGCAGCGGAAAGUUUAGUGAACCUUAUCACUUAGAGGAAGGAGAAGUCGUAACA